AGCUUUUAACAAUUAAGUAAAGUAUACUCCUAUGAAUAAACUUGGGAGCAUAUUUGUUUCUCUCUACCUGAUUUCUCCAGAAUUUGGAAACUAUUUGUGAGUGUUCUUACCUUACGGCAAUAUACUGAUUUGCAUAAGUGCAAUAAGAAUCUGUUCUCUUUUGUAACAGGACACAAUUGGAAAAAUUGGUUAUUUUACCAAGGCUGACUGGAAUGAUACAUUCUCCUUUAAGAAAUCAAACUUGACUAUGGAGCUUAUAAUGCCCUUGGAAAACUGGCCUCAUAUUUUGUGUACACGGUCCCUGUACAGGGUUUCUGAUCUGUGUGCUUUUGUUAAUCAAGAACUUCCCCAGGUGACUAUGAAAUGAGAUCCAGGCCACACCACUUUGUGCCACUCUAUUUCUCUAUAAGAAACAGAAAACACCAUGACUAAAGCCAAGGGACUAGGCACAAGACAGCUUUCAGCUUAUUUUUAUCUUCAGGUUUCACAAUUAAAAGGUAAAGAGGGCUUCCAAACAUCUGUCACUCCAGGAAUAUGAACGUGUUGAAAGUUACGACCCUGGAAGUGAUCAGUUGCUGCAUGUUAACAAAGCAUGCCCCCAACUGCAUACCUGGGAUGAAAAUGAUGGCUGGCUUGCCAUGCUGUUCGGUUGAAUCUUCCGCAAUAAUGAAGAUGGUCCAUAUCUACAUUGUCCAAAAUGGUAGCCUCUAUGUUUUGUGUACACAAUAUUGUGCAUCAUGUAAGAAGGGACUAUGUAUGCCCAUGUAUAAUCAGUGAGAACUUGAAAUGUGGCUAGCAAGCUGAAUAACUAAAUUUGUAAUUUUAAAAUUGUAAUUAAUUUAAUUUAAAAUAGCCAUGUGUGGCUACUCUAUUGGUAUUGAAUGGCAAAGCUAUUUAGAACAACUCUCUCAAGCUUUAAUAUGUACCAGGGGAUCCCAUCAAAAAGAAAAUUCAGAUGUCAUGUGUCUAAGGUGGAUCCUGAAAGUUUGCAUUUCUAGCAAGCUCCCAGGUGAUGCUGAUCCUCGUGCUCAACAAACUACACUUCAAGUAGCAAGGCUCUUAAAAAGUCAUUCUCAAACUUUGCUCCACAUUAAAAUAACCUGGAUAGCAUUAAAACCCAAAUGCCCACUCUGAACUCAAUAUCAAACAAAUCAAGUGUUCUUGGUGAAUCAUAGUCAUCAGUAUGUUUUUUACAUCUCUUUAUGUGACUCCAACGUCCAGCUAAGUUUGAAAACUAGUGCUUUGAAAAAGUGCUUAUUUUUACAGUGCAUAAAAAUCACCUGGGGAUCUUGUUUACAGAUUGGAAUUCACUUGUGAAGUGGAUCCUGAGGUUGUUGCAUUUCUUGUAAGUUUCCAGGUAAUUCCAAGGUUACUAGUCUGUUCUACACAUUGCUACUCAAAGGAUGUGUCAUGGAACAAAAUAAUUGGCAUCAACUGAGACCGUUUUAGAAAUUUACAACUUAGGGCUCCACCCUAGACUAAUUGAAUCAGAAUCUGUACUUGAACAGCAUUCACAAGCAAUUUGCACGUACAUUAUAAUUAAAGGAGUACUGUCCUCAAAAUCUUAACCAUUUUUUGUUUAUAUUGAGUUUAAGAGUAUUGGCAGGUUAGAAUUUGAGCUCAGUGAUCCCAGGUCCAGCAGUAUCUCCAUCACCAAGAACUUAUUAGAAAUGCAAAUUCCACCUCAUAUGUCAGAAUAAUAUUCUGGGGAUAGGGCCCAGCAAGCUGUUUUACUGAACCCUUUUGGUGAUUGCUCAUGCAUACUAAAUUUUGAAAAAUAUUGUUCUGGCUUUUGUUGAGUUCAGAAUCCUGAAAAAAAGUGCUUUAUUAAUAUUUAAUUUGUAUCAUUCUUGAAAUGUAUUUGAGACCCAUACCAGUAUGAUGUCCUCUUCACUUGAUCACGUCUGCAAAGUUUGUGUUUCCAUGAGGUUCCGAGUGGACAUGAAUUUUAGGGGACACUAUUCAACCUAGUACAACCUCUGUCCCCAACAAGGGGAUAAAGGUUUGGAAAGAAGGCAAGCAAGGAACUCUUGUUAGGUAUCUACUUAUUCAUUUAGUCUAUCUUUCACAAUUUACCCAAUAACAUUGUGAAGUAAGUAGUAUAUCUCCAUUGGACAAAUGAAAAAAGUCCAAAAACAAGGUUAAAAGACAGCAAGUAAUGAUUAAGGGCAUAUGUCCAAUUUGUAGCAGAACUUGAUUUAAACUAGAUCUUGUCUGAUUUUUAAAAUUUUAAUUUAAUUUUAUUAAUUGACUAAUAAUAAUUGUACAUAUCCAUGGGGUGCAUAGUGAUGUUUUAAUAUAUAUAAUGUAUAGUGAUCAGAUCAGGGUAAUUAACAUGUCCAUCAUCUUAAACAUUCAUUAUUUCUUUGUGUGGGGAACAUUUAACAUCCUCCUAGCUAUUUGAAACUAUACUGUUAACCGUAGUCAUCCUACAGUGGUAUAGAACACUGGAGUUCAUUCCUCCUAUUGAUUUUUAACUAAAAUCUAUGCUCUUUCUAUCCCACCAUGAUCCAUAUUGGCUCAUAACAGACCUCCCUGCCCUACUACAUCCCAUAAGAUAGAAUACUAUACUUCAAUUGUAUAAACUAAAUAUUAAAAGCAUUGUUAAAGUGUUGAAAAGACAAUACAUUUAUUCUUAGAGUCCUACAUAUAUGCAUUGCCUAACUUUCAGACACAGGGGACUUUCCAAUUCUGCCUAUUUAUCAUUUUAACAACUACCUUCUGAUGUAAUGUCAGGGGCAUGACGAAACACAGCAUUUGCCAAGGGUAAAUCGUGUUCCCCUUGGCCUUAUAUAUUAUUCUCCUCCUUCCCUGAUACCUACAUAUAUGUACUAACUGGCCAUUGAUGUCAUAGUGAGAGGUGACAGCGUGCUGGCAGUCCUCACAACCCUCGCUCACUCUCGGUGCCUCCUCUGCCUGGGCUCACACUUUGGCGGCACUUGAGGA
rnacentral:lncRNA from 10 species